rnacentral:lncRNA from 1 species
UAAUGUACGACCAAGUUAGACCCUCAAGUCAGAUUCUGCAAAUACAGUCUAAUGUACGACCAAGUUAGACCAGAAGCUGCUCAAAUACAGUCUAAUGUACGACCAAGUUAGACCUUCAGCGGCUCAAAUACAGUCUAAUGUACGACCAAGUUAGACCUUCAGCGGCUCAAAUACAGUCUAAUGUACGACCAAGUUAGACCAGAAACCGCUCUAAUACAGUCUAAUGUACGACCAAG